GCAUUUCCGAGCCAAAAGUAUAAACGGUUUUCGUUGGAAAAUAUCACAAAACAAAUAGUUAGGACGAUUCCGACGAUUCCGUUUUAACCGGAACCGCUUUAUUCAGCAGCCAGCGGCG
rnacentral:misc_RNA from 1 species